rnacentral:rRNA from 1 species
AUUGAACGCUGGCGGCAGGCCUAACACAUGCAAGUCGAGCGAGCGGCGGACGGGUGUGUAAUGCCUGGGAAUUGCCCAGUCGAGGGGGAUAACAGUUGGAAACGACUGCUAAUACCGCAUACGAUUGGCUUGCCCAGGUGGGAUUAGCUAGUGGGGGGGGUAAUGGCUCACCAAGGCGACCAUCCCUAGCUGGACUGAGAGGAUGAUCGUCCACACGGGAAAUGAGACACGGCCCAGCCGCCUACGGGAGGCAGCAGUGGGGAAUAUUGCACAGUGGGGGAAACCCUGAUGCAGCCAUGCCGCGUGGGUUAAGAAGGCCUUAGGGUUGUAAAGCACUUUAAGCGAGGAGGCGUUACUCGCAGAAGAAGCACCGGCUAACUCCGUGCCAGCAGCCGCGGUAAUAC